ensembl:lncRNA
UGGUGGCUGACUAAAUACUUUUUUGCCCCACUGUACAUUACGGGGAGCCAUUGACCAAGCUGCACUUUAUGACAAGUAGCCUAUACAGCAUAUCCUGUCUACAGGCUUCCGUAAUGUUUCUGUGUCUCUGUGUUCAUUGUGGCUUUUUUUUGUACUCUGUUCUACAGUAUGAAGUUAUAUGAUUACAGGAAAACAGGGGUUGUUCAUUUUCAUCCGUAGUUGACACUGAACGAGAACAAUCUACAGAAUCAUGUGCAAACUUCCCCUUUGGUGUUCUAUAGUAUUGCUGUUAUUCCCAGUCCCUGCAAAUGCCAGGGUGUGGAUGAACCAGUGGUCCUCAAAGAAUGCUUACAUAGUAGGGGAAACAGCUGCUCUUAAUUGCAACAUAACCUCAGAUCAUGAGGAAAUAAGAAAUUGCAAAAUGAGAUGGAUCAUUGAAGAUCAAGGUGAUGUCACAAGUUUGGAGUUGUAUAAGCAUCGUGUCAACAUGAAUUUGAGCAAAACAGCUACUACUAUGACAUUGAGAAACCUGACCUUGAGUGACACCAUUAUGCCAAUUUGCAUCGCAAAGUGCAUCAUUGACAGUGUCAACAGCAAGGUUUAUGGGGAGGGUGGCACACUUCACAUUUUUGAAGACAUCAACCAGAUGACCCUGGUCUCAAAGUUGACAACACUGGUCCCAAAGGAAAUCAAACAGGAACAUGCUCUCACUUGGCUGAACCAUGUUUUUCUCAGCAUAAACAUCCUGAUUUUCAUUGUGGCCACAAUUAUUUGUGUGUCAUACAUCAGAACCCAAAUGAAUAUGAAUUAAAAAGGGAUUGCAUUAGUUGUUAAAAUAUUGCCUGAAGCACCCUUCCAAGUUAUAGCCUAAAGCCUAUGCUCUAACACCUUUAGUAAACUGUAAACCGUGAUUUGAAAUGUUUUCGGAACAAUAGCUUUCUUCAUGCACUGCAUUUUUAUUGUGUUUUUAGGCCUGUUCAUAUUUUAUUACUCUAAUGUAUAGAAUGUAUGCCUACUGAUAUAGUUUUUACUGUCUUGUAUUAUUAUCUGAAAACAAACUAGGUAAAGGUGAAAGGUGACAAGCAUCUGGUAAAUGCAUUCCAGAUUAGAGUGCUUGAGGGUGCCAGGCUGCCCUGCAUCACUCACUCCUAUCAUCCACUACGCACACCUGCCUUUCCUUGUCAUGCUCUUCAGCUAUAUUGGACUCACUUAUCUGUUUAUUACCUUGCCUAUAUUUGUCAGUUUCCCUGCUGAUGCAUUGAUUGUUUUUUGUCUGUAUUAUUAGUUUACUGACGCUGUUCCUGUCUCAUGUCCGUUCUUUAUUAAAUGUUUGACUCCCCGUACCUGCUUCGUCUCUCCAGCGUCAUUCCAUGUGACACUAUGCACGAUAUGGAUACAUUCUCCCACACACCAGCCUGG